rfam:Hordeum vulgare subsp. vulgare, WGS project CAJW01000000 data, contig: morex_contig_136744
CUGGUACUCCCUCCAUCCCAAAAUUAUUGUCUUAGAUUUGUCUAGAUAUGAAUGUAUCUAGUCACGUUUUAGUAUAUUUUAAAACAUUCAUUUCUAAAUAAGCCUAAGACAAGAAUUUUGUGACGGAGGGAGUAGUAA